GGGUUGUUAGCUCAGUUGGUAGAGCAGCGGACUCUUAAUCCGUAGGUCGUAGGUUCGAACCCUACACAACCCACCA
rnacentral:tRNA from 2 species